UACGAAGGGUGCAAGCGUUACUCGGAAUUACUGGGCGUAAAGCGUGCGCAGGCGGUUCGCUAAGACAGAUGUGAAAUCCCCGGGCUUAACCUGGGAACUGCAUUUGUGACUGGCGGGCUAGAGUAUGGCAGAGGGGGGUAGAAUUCCACGUGUAGCAGUGAAAUGCGUAGAGAUGUGGAGGAAUACCGAUGGCGAAGGCAGCCCCCUGGGCCAAUACUGACGCUCAUGCCACG
rnacentral:rRNA from 1 species